CUUUUUUCCACCAGAGAAGGGAAAGCUACCCAAAGAAAACCCUCCACCAAGAAUCCAGGAUUUAAAUCUCCGAUUUUCCAUUAAGGGUACAACCCAGGCCAAAACAGCACAGGAUAUAUGGAGCUACCGAGGUUAGGUGCAAUGUUCCACCGACUGCCACUGUUUCUCAGAACAUGUAUCCUGAUCUGUCUGUCAGAGACGAGCAGAGCGGCUGUACAUUAGCAGCACGCUGUAAGCAAUUGCUGUUAAUUUACAGCCGGUUUUCAACACUAAUAUACUGUAUUGAUGUAAUACGGUUUUGUACUGCGGUUAGCAAUGCAUUGUGGGCUGCCCCAUAUGAAGCAACAGCACAGAGGCCCUAAACAGUAUGCUAAUGUUUUAAAUUACAGUAGGCCUACACUACAGUAUUUUUGCACAGAGAAUAUUGGAGCUUGAUAAGAAGUUUGAUAAUAAAUUGGCAUAGUCUUUUAAUACUAAAAUUACUGUUUUGUCAAAGUUCGUUUUCCAGUAGAAAAAAAAGUCGGAAAUAAUUUGCCAUUAGGAACUCGUGAGGGGAUUUUCUUAGAAACGGUCAUUUGAAAAGCAGUUUUUCCAGAGGAGGACGUACUUCCGAGGACAUGUGCUACACAUCAACAAGACGUCCUGCUUCAUCUGCAUCGAUCGGGGUUGUGCAUCUACAAAUUAGACGAACAAUGGCUAACUUGAGUGAAGAAAUCAAGGAGAUCAUCUGCAAGACCUUGCCAAAUCUCUCUGAAGAGACCCAGUGGCAAGUAAUUUCUAAACUUCAGAGCUCUGCUUUGGGGUCAAAAGAAGAUUCAAAAUAUAUACAGCAGGAAGACAAUGCUGAUCUGUUACCUGUUGUUAAGCUCCGAAAACUCCUGGAUGCAUUUAAAUUAGGUAAUUUAUGGUUAAUUCAGUGUGGCAUUUAAGUAGGGAUGCACCAGUCACACCAUAUAGCUUAUUAGCAAUGUACCCUAAAUCUUUCUUUGUGUUGGAUCUGCAAGCCAACCUUUUCACCACUGAGUAGUGCUUUGUCAGUCUCUGAGUCUCCAUGACCGUCAUCAGGCACUCCGCCUCAUUCUAGCCCAUCACAGCUGUCAGCCAUUGCAUUAUUGUCAAGCCAGGCAGGAAACAGCUCAAGUACUGAAAACAUGGCCAGAAACAUUCCAGGUCCCUAAGUUGGGAACAAAUGCCAGAAGAGAUACGUUCUGCAAUUGUAGUCGGCAAGAGACCUAAACCAGUGGAGUGACGCCAGAUGGUAUGAGUACUCGUAGAUGAAAUGGGGAGGUAUGAGGCUAACCUCACUUGCUCACAGUGCCUUACUGUGAUUAGAAAUAUCAUCAGGCAGUAUCCAAAGAGGUUUGCUGAUAUGACAGUAGACAGGUCACUUUUGGGUGGAGGUUAUACAGUACAUCACUUUUGAUUCACGAGAAAAACCACAUAGAGAAUGUGAACAGUGAAGGAAGCUAUGCACGCCACCGAGCUUCUAGAUCCAUUUCUACAUACAAGAUGGGGCCAUCCAACACUUAUGGAUGUACAAGAUUUCAGCCAGAGCUCCCUCAAGAAGAAACUAAUGAGACUGUGGAGCAGAAGCACCGAAGACUGGAGGAGAUUUACCGACAGGAGGGUGCACGUGGAGCUGAAAGAGCAGAGGUCAAAAAUCUAAAGGAGCUCACAUUCUGUCUACAAUAUCGUAAUAUAAAUGCACUUCUGCCUCCUGACAUUGAAGAUAUGAGAAGCAAAUGGCCUUUUCUUUUCACUCAAAGAUGCUUAUAUGCUCAUUUUGAGUUGCUCACAGACAUCAAUGUGCUUCGUAGCUUGGAACUCAGUGUGGAGGAAUGUGGGAGAGCCAUCACAGAAGACGCCAGGGGAAAACCUACCAACAAAGAUGUCAAGGAUGUCCUCUCUGAGAGUGAAGUUAAUGAGAUGGAACAUCGAAUUGUUCAGCUGCUCAUGGCACACACUUUGGACAGAGCCUAACAGAGCUGGUCCCUCUUACAGAUGCGCUUCAUUGGUAUCCAGAGAGAGGAACAAAGGCCAUCUUGGGCAAGGUUGUCUCCAAGAGGACGGGUGUGAUCGUCCAGAAGAAGUCUGCCACAGUCAAUAAACACGUCUCCACACUACUGAAGAACCUCACUGACCUUGAAUGGGACUUCAUAUAGGGGUUACACUGGAAUAAACCUAGGGAGAGGAACAAUGACCAGCAAGGUGAUGGUCAUCUUUACCUAAACAAAGAACAUUCCCCUUAUGCAUGCACCUACAUCACAUGACUCUUUUAAGAAGUAAAACAUGAGCCUACCAAUGUUUUUUUCCUAAAUGUUGAUAUUGAUGCAUAUUUUCAAAAUGUUCUUAAUAGUACAGUUUGUUUUCCAAAUGUUGCUAAUGAUGCAUAUUUUCAAAAUGUUCUUACUGAUGUAUGUUUUCAGACAGCAGAGAAUACAUUGCAGUAAAUUUAGAUAUUGUAGAUAUUUUGUUAUUUUUUAUUGUUGUUGUUUUACAUUAG